rnacentral:rRNA from 1 species
CCUACGGGGUGCUGCAGUGGGGAAUAUUGGACAAUGGGCGAAAGCCUGAUCCAGCCAUGCCGCGUGUGUGAAGAAGGCCUUCGGGUUGUAAAGCACUUUCAGUGGGGAAGAAAGCCUUGGGGCUAAUACCCUCGAGGAAGGACAUCACCCACAGAAGAAGCACCGGCUAACUCCGUGCCAGCAGCCGCGGUAAUACGGAGGGUGCGAGCGUUAAUCGGAAUUACUGGGCGUAAAGCGCGCGUAGGCGGUCUGAUAAGCCGGUUGUGAAAGCCCCGGGCUCAACCUGGGAACGGCAUCCGGAACUGUCAGGCUAGAGUGCAGGAGAGGAAGGUAGAAUUCCCGGUGUAGCGGUGAAAUGCGUAGAGAUCGGGAGGAAUACCAGUGGCGAAGGCGGCCUUCUGGACUGACACUGACGCUGAGGUGCGAAAGCGUGGGUAGCAAACAGGAUAGAUACCCGAGUAGU